ACAGCGAUCCAGCUUCUCCCUCUCCUGCCCAGCUGGGUUAAAGCAGCCAGUGGGUGGGACACAGCUUUCAUUGGUUUUCAUUCGCCGUCGCCACCUGGAACCAAACCCACUAAUCAGUGCAGUUUGACCAGCAAACCUUCAGGUGAGUCCACAGCUUGAACUCUACAAACCAUGCUAGAACCGCUUUGGUGGAUUGGUAGUAGUCAAAUUUGUUGAUAUGGAGGCAGUUAAUUCUAUGUUGCAACACUCGUAUGGUCUGGGCCCACCACAUGGAGCUCAGCGGGCCCAGGGGCCCAGCCCGUCCGGUCCAGGACCAGCUCCAGGAGUGUGUCCUGAGGAGCAUCACCAGCAUAACCAGCAUAACCAGCAGCACCAGCAGCACCAACAGCACCAGCAUAACCAGCAUAACCAACAGCACCAGCAUAACCAGCAUAACCAACAGCACCACAAACCGUUCUUCUUCAUACAGCCAUCGCAGCCAUACCUGCCCAUGCAGAGCCUGCAGUGGCCUGUGCCCAUGCCCAUGCCUGUGGCCUACAACCCCUUCUAUGGCUUCCCUGGUCUCGGCUACGGCAUGCCGGUGAUGCCACACUAUCAGGCGAACCCCUGCCUGGAGCCACCCGGCUUUGUUCUACCCCACUCCCAUCUCCAUCUGACAGACUACAGGCGCAUGCUCAACCCCCAGUACUACCAGACCAUGGCCUACCACUCCCGCAGGUUCCGCUACCAGCAGAACGCUCCCGCUAGAGAAAUGACCAGCUCUGAGGUCCAAACGGAGCCGCUGUCGGCCCCCCAGAGGACCAGCACCCCAACUUCCAGUGCUGCUGAAGCCUCUAGUGUUCUCCCAGUGUGUAGCAGUGAUGCGCACCCCGCCAGCCAGGCGCUUUCACCAGUCUUGGCUAUGCAGGAGGAGGACCGUUCUCUGGAGGUGACGUCUUCCACGCCGCCACAAAAUGGCGGCUUUGUGAUUCAGACUGAGGAGUGCAGCUCCAUCCUCCAGGGUCAUGUGCUGCAGGAUGACGGACUGGGCCUUUCUGCAGACCAGUCGGAGCAAGCGCUUCAAGCCUGUCCUGACAUCCUCCUCGGUGGGACGUCCAGUCCUGGAGACAAGGUCCCUGCUCUGGAGGAGACGCAGCCAAACCUGAAGGGCGACUUUGAGAAUGAUCCAAGAACAGUUUCCAAAAAUUCUGACUUUAAAGUUGUUCAUCUUCCCUUUGACCCAAACUACUUGGACGAGCUGCGGAGGAUGGAGUCCACUGUUUGGUCAGUGGAAGAAACUCUGGUUCCUGCCCCUGAAUCUCUGGUCCAGAGCAGCUGCACAGACUCUCCUGAUGAAAUGGCUGUCGUGCCCUCAGCAGAUAUGCUAAUAAUAGAAGAUCUUCCUACAGACGACGUUGUCCCUAGAGUUGACCUGGAGGACAUGGUCCCCACUGGGGAUGAGAUGGUGUUUGAAGCUUUGUGUUCUGUAGUGGAUGUUGCAGAGGAAGCUCCUGUUACGAAGACCUCACACACAGCAGAGGUGGAUCUUGGCCACAGUUUGCUCAUGUUAGAAAACCCUCCCCUUAAUACAGAGGUAUACAGAAACCAACUUAAAGAAGCCUUCAAUGUUCAGGACCACCAGGAUACUUCCUUUGAGUCCUUACCAGCGUACCUUCCCUCGACGAGCUGGCUGGCGGACUUUGACAAUGUGCAUUACUGCAGCAAGAAGAUGCCACCAACUCCCAAGAAGCAGAACAGACCUCUGUCCAACCGUGGCUCGGACGUGUCUAAUCGUGGAUUGGACGUCCCGAGCCGAAGAAGAAAGCUCGACCUCGAGUACAAGAACCAGUCUAAACCUAGAGAGAGGUACAAGCCCAAAGGCAAGGGCAGCCAGCGCAGCCUCUCUGACCAUGAAUGCUGCCUGAGCAGAGGUUUCAACGAGAACGCCUUCUCCACAUACGUGUCUAACAUGGAGCGACUUUGCUCCAGAUGUCUGGCAAAACACAGGGUUUGCACAUCUACUGGUCCAGCAUUUGAAGGACGAAGCCUGAAAAGGAAAGCGGCUCCCUUCCAUCAGUGGAAUGACGCUUUCUUGCCAACCUGUGAAAGCUGUAAAUCUCACAGGAAGCGGCGUCUGAUGAGAAAAGGCUCCAAUCCUGACGUUCGCGUUGUGUAUCAUGGACGCGACACUGAAGGCGAAUCGUCUGAGAACACCUCCUGCCACAUGACUCAAAAAUGGAGGACCGGCGACGACCCCAGGAAGCCAGCAGACGUCACAAGACCGCUGGCCUCCAAACAGAACCUGGAGAGGUAUCCCACAGCAACGUACCCGAGGCUGAGGGAGAAGAACUGCCUGCGUAACGAGCCGCAUCACGCCGGUGCCCGGGAGAGACCGCACCGCUGUCCCCACGGCAACGCCGUCAGAGAAAUGGACGAGAACUGCGUCCUGUCGCCUCCUUUUCAGGACAAACGGAGGAACAGGGACCAGGUUUAUGUGACGCACAGAUGGCAAAUCGAAAAGUCAUGCAAACCGGUGAUGCCAAACCCAGAUGGCUCCAGCAAUGAAGCCAGAGCACAGAACAAACACAGGAAAUCACACGCACAAGGAAUUCUUAGAAAAGACACAAGAUGUUGAUUUGCACAAGAGCACAAUUUAGGAAAAAGCACUUUUAAAGAAAUGUCCACUUUUAAUUUAAGUAUUUUCACUUAAUAUAUUUAUAAUAAAUCACUAUGUUCACUAUUUAUUCA
rnacentral:lncRNA from 1 species